GUGAAUUGAUGGUUGUCCCAAGGGUGGAGGCCGUGUAAGAGGAGGCUGAACUGUCGACGAAAAGGGAGGUGCUGGAAAAUGCUGAAAAGCUCCAGCAGUUGGCAUUGGCGGGACAUUGGACGAUGGGGGAGGAGGAGGCACUGAUGGAUCAUUAAACCUGCCCGGUGGUGUAGGUCUAAAACUUGGCGCCCCUGGUCUAACAGCAGGUCCAGACGAUGAAAACGGUGUGGGGGCUUGAGGAGGUGCAGGGGUAGUAGGUCGGAAAGAAGGAGGCUCUGAUCCAGCCACAGGACCCGUCGUUGAAAAAGGUGUCAUAGUCUGUGCAGCAGCAGGAGCAGCAGCAAAAGGCGAGGAAGUAGGUCUUGAAGGGAAGUUUGGACGAGUUGGAUUUUCAGUCCCCAUGAUAGAUUACAGAAC
rnacentral:lncRNA from 1 species